rnacentral:rRNA from 1 species
CAGUAGCCGCGGUAAUACGGAGGAUCCGAGCGUUAUCCGGAAUUAUUGGGUUUAAAGGGUGCGUAGGCGGAUAGAUAAGUCAGUGGUGAAAGACGGUGGCUCAACCAUCGCAGUGCCGUUGAUACUGUUUAUCUUGAAUAUGGAUGAGGUAGGCGGAAUGUGGCAAGUAGCGGUGAAAUGCAUAGAUAUGCCACAGAACACCGAUUGCGAAGGCAGCUUACCAAGGCAAAAUUGACGCUGAGGCACGAAAGCGUGGGGAUCGAACAGGAUUAGAUACCCCUGUAGUCCCUGUCUCUUAUAC